GGAAGGAUCAUUACCGAGAACGAAAGUUGAUCUUCGGGUCAUCUUUCGCCUCCCCCCCCCCUCAUACCAUGUGAACGCGAACCCGUGGACGAACGUGAGAUUGUCUACGCUUCCGCAAGAAAACGAAAAGCAAAACUUUCAACAACGGAUCUCUUGGCUCCGGCGUCGAUGAAGAACGCAGCGAACUGCGAUACGUGAUGUGAAUUGCAGAAUUAGUGAAUCAUCGAGUCUUUGAACGCAUAUUGCGCCCAUUGGUACCCCUUUGGGCACGCCUGUUCGAGCGUCGUCAAAACCCCCUCGGGCCUUGCCCGGUGCUGGAGGAUGCCAUUUUUUGGAUUACCCGAAAUAUAUUGGCACCUCUUUAACCCUUUUUUUCUGGCGCGGUGACCAGACUUCCUGACGCGGCAAGUUAAUUUUUAACCUCCGUCAUGCAAGUCUGAAUUACUGUUCGCCGUCAAAUUUGACUGAUUGGAAGCAAUUUCAAUUGGACUAUUUAUUUUUCGACCUCGAAUCAGGUGGGGAUACCCGCUGAACUUAAGCAUAUCAAUAAGCGGAGGAAAAGAAACCAACAGGGAUCGCCCCAGUAACGGCGAGCGAAGCGGCGAUAGCUCAGAUUUGAAAUCUGGCUCAUUCAUUGAGUCCGAGUUGUAAUCUGAAGAGGAUACUUCUGUGAGAUACCCCGCCCAAAGUCCCCUGGAACGGGGCGCCAUGGAGGGUGAGAGCCCCGUUGGGGCGGGAGUGUCUUGCUAUACGAAGUACCUUCGACGAGUCGGGUUGUUUGGGAAUGCAGCUCAAAGCGGGAGGUAAAUUCCUUCCAAGGCUAAACACCCGCCGGAGACCGAUAGCGAACAAGUAGAGUGAUCGAAAGAUGAAAAGCACUUUGGAAAGAGAGUCAAAAAGCGCGUGAAAUUGUUGAAAGGGAAGCGCUCGCGGCCAGACUCGGCCACGCCUGCUCAAUCGGUCCCGCGUGGACCGGUGUGCUCAGGUGUGGUCGGGCCAGCGUCGGCUCGGGCGACUGGACAAAGGCCGAGGGAAUGUGGCCCUUCGGGGUGUUAUAGCCCUCGGUGCAACACAGCCAGCCUGGGCCGAGGAUCGCGCAGCAAUGCUAGGACGCUGGCGUAAUGGCCUUGAGCGACCCGUCUUGAAACACGGACCAAGGAGUCCAACGUCCACGCGAGUGUUCGGGUGUUAAGCCCGCACGCGCAAUGAAAGUGAACGGAGGUGGGAACCCGGUAAAACGGGUGCACCGUCGACCGAUCCAGAUGUCUUCGGACGGAUUCGAGUAAGAGCGUGGCCGUUGGGACCCGAAAGGUGGUGAACUAUGCGUGGGUAGGGUGAAGCCAGAGGAAACUCUGGUGGAGGCUCGCAGCGGUUCUGACGUGCAAAUCGAUCGUCGAACCUGCGCAUAGGGGCGAAAGACUAAUCGAACCGCCUAGUAGCUGGUUCCUGC
rnacentral:misc_RNA from 1 species